rnacentral:rRNA from 1 species
UACGUAGGGUGCAAGCGUUAAUCGGAAUUACUGGGCGUAAAGCGUGCGCAGGCGGUUUCGUCAGUCUGUCGUGAAAUCCCCGGGCUUAACCUGGGAAUGGCGAUGGAGACUGCGAGGCUAGAGUUUGGCAGAGGGGGGUAGAAUUCCACGUGUAGCAGUGAAAUGCGUAGAGAUGUGGAGGAACACCGAUGGCGAAGGCAGCCCCCUGGGUCAAAACUGACGCUCAUGCACGAAAGCGUGGGGAGCAAACAGG